rnacentral:lncRNA from 1 species
CAUAAUUCAUCAAAUAUUACAAUCAAAAGAGAGAGAAAUCAUCAUUCUUUUUGGAAAAAUCACGAGGUAAGAUACAAGAAUUCAUCCAAUUAGAGAUUCAAUCUUAAUCGUUGGGCAAAGAAGAGGAUUGUGCAAUUAGAGACAAUCAAGAAACCAUUAAAGAGAUUUAAGAACUUCAAGAUUCUCGUCUUUUUCUUCAUUCAACUAAAAAAAGAGGCGAUGUUCUACAAAACAACUAUGAAUUAUUGUAAUUUUGUAAUGUUAAGCUAAGAUCUUUAGUUGCUCAGACA